CUCCAACUGAUGAGUCUCAAAUAGGACGAAACACGAGUCCUGGAU
rnacentral:hammerhead_ribozyme from 1 species